rnacentral:rRNA from 1 species
UACGUAGGGCGCAAGCGUUGUCCGGAAUUAUUGGGCGUAAAGAGCUCGUAGGCGGCCUGUUGCGUCCGCUGUGAAAUCCCGGGGCUCAACCCCGGGCGUGCAGUGGAUACGGGCUGGCUGGAGGCAGGCAGGGGAGAACGGAAUUCCUGGUGUAGCGGUGAAAUGCGCAGAUAUCAGGAGGAACACCGGUGGCGAAGGCGGUUCUCUGGGCCGAUACUGACGCGGAGGAGCGAAAGCGUGGGGAGCGAACAGG